AAAAAGUUUAGUUUGUUUAUUGUUAAGCACAAAGCUUUACAUUUGCUACAUGUGCUUUGCCCAACACGAGUAUCGAAACCUGGUUUUGAGCGUCGUAAGCCUACAGACUUGUCGCUGAGCCACUGGGAGGCACCUUUAUAGAAAUAAUUGAAGUGCUUGACACGGAUGAAGCAUUCUAACUAAUCUAAGCAUGGACCAAAUGUGAGCAAGAGGGAUGAAGUCGAAUAAUGAUUUGUUUCAUGGCAUAUUUAUCUGCCUUAGUUGAACUCUCACACUUUAUUACCAAAUCUGCUGAUGACGAGAAGUGAAAGAGUAAUUCGCCAUUUGCAUUUGAUAAAGAUACCAAGUUUCAGAAAUGUGUUUUUGGCAUCUUUUUAUUUAAUGUCAGUGAUAAAAUGUUAUUUGAAAAUUUUAAUAUAGCCCUUAUUGAAGUUAUUCAGUAAAACUAAGACUAAUGUCAUGAGCACAGACUAAGGGAAUUCCGUGAAGCGUAAGUGGAGUUCUGGGACUGGGAGGCUGAGUAGGAGCCUGUUAGUGUUACACUGACAUUUUCAAUUUCAGGGCUUUGAAAGAAUAUCAACAUUUUGACAGUCUGCAGAGACAGACAAACUACAUAGGCUGAUAUUUGAGCUGAAAUGAGAAUAUUGAAAAUGCUCUACUGUCUCUGAAUGCUGUGCUGGAGCUUACAAGUCUUCUGGAUCCUAGUGUAUAAAGAGCAUUGUUCAAUUUGGAAUUUUGCUUUUUAAACAUUCAGUCUUUCUACUAAGCAAGUGCUUUGUGUUCAAAGAAAUUGAAGACAAAUAAAAUUGUUCCAAGAAAGUUUUUCUUAAAAGCAGCCUCUGGUUUCCUACCCAUGCUAAACGGACUAAAUUACUUGUCACAAGAGAUUAUGAAUGUGAAAUCUGCCAUAGAUGCUUCACAGCCAAACCUAGUCUGAAGAGGCAUAAGAUUGUGAUGCACUCUGAUAUUCGUCCUUUAUUCCAUUGUAACUUGUGUUCAAGAAUUUUUUCCUGGAAAGACAAUUUGGAACGACACAAGCGAAUUGCACACAACCAGAUGUCUGUGGGUUUUGAUUAACAAAUAGUAUUUUCCACAUUUUUCAGAAUAGUGAUGAUUUAUUGGUUUACUUAGGUUAUUCACCUCUCUCAUUCUCUCACCUCUCAUUUCCAGCUGCUACUGGAUGAGUUCUUUCAGGUGGGCAUGUGGACUACUCUUCACACCUUCAUCACCAUCUGGCUGUCUUGUAUCCCGAAGAUUACUGUCUGCCUGUGCCAUUCUACAUAGUCUACCCUCUGCCUCUGGACUGGUAAGUACAUUUUCUUUUUUAGAACAUUUACUUAUAGGAACCUGCUAUGUGGCUGGUGGUGCCUCUCAGUGUAUAUGUUUCCAAAAAUUCUGCAUCGUGUGGCCUGAGUCUGUACAGUUAAGUUGAGAUGAGCAUACAUUAUAAUGUUGUGCCCUUCUGCAGCCAGAGCAUAGUCGGUUGAAUUGAGGUGAGCACAUUACACGAUAUAUGCCAUCCACCUGUGGUCCGAGUCUGUACAGUUGAGGUGAGAACACACUAUAAUGCUGUGCCCUCUUCCUACAGCCAGUCUGUUCAGUAGAGUUGAGGCAAGCACAUCAUAUGAUAUGUGCUCUCCUUCUGCAGCCUGCGACUGUUCAGUAGAGUCAAGAUGGGUACACACUACUAUACAGUGCUAUCCUCCUGCUGUUCUCUCUAGGCCCUGCAUGGCCAGGUGGUUAGGGCACUUGACUCGCAAUCUGAGGAUUGUGGGUUCGAUUCCCCAUCCCACCAAACAUGCUCACCAUUUCAGCCAUGGGAGUAUUAUAAUGUGAUGUUCAAUCCCACAAAAGUUGGUAGUGGGUAGUGACAACUAUCUGCCUUCCCUCUAGUCUUUUCGCUGGUAAAUUAGGGAUGGCUAGCGUAGAUAGCCCUCAUGUAGCUUUGUGCAAAAUUCAAAACAAACCUAUUGUCUGUUUAGUAGAUGAGGUGAGCAUGCACUAAUAGUCAAGCCCUCUUCUUGCAGCUGAUGUCUGUUCAGUUGAGAUGAGGUUUGCACACACACUACUACUCUCUAUGGCAUGACUAUUGUACCCUCCUUCUGUAGGUAGUGUCAGUCAAACAAAGUCUGAUAGUAGAGUUUAGGUGAGCACAAGGUUCAGUCUGAAUGUGUCCCAGCCAUGCUACACAUAUUGGCUCUCCAACCUCUUGUGUGAAAUUAGGACCCUGUUCUUAUUCUGCCCAUCUCUGCGACACAUGGGGCUCAUUUGCUUUUUUCCUCCCUUAUUCUCAGGCAAAACGUAUACCCUGAAAGAGAUGAGAUACAGUCUCUCAUGAUUGUGCACCUAUGGAUCGGGUGUCACACUCCAUGGUGUUCCUUCAGAUACUUUCUGAAGGUAGCUCAUCUAGGAUAAUCUUUGCACCAGCCCCUCCACCACUUCAACAGGGGAUUGUAGCUUAAAUGUGUGAAGAGGUGUGGUGUAGUGUCUUCUCUGAAGUUAACAUUUUCCUUACCUAAAAAUGUUAUUUUGAUAGACACUCAUCCUUCCCGCUUCGGUGCACAUUUCUUACUUUUGUCAUCAAAGAAUGAAGAUUCAUGAGUGCAAAUGCAUAGAGGUAGUUAGUGCACAAGAAGGUUGUAUUGCCCUCCUAUUGGUAGAGGGCUUUUGCUGCAUAAUGAUGUCAUUAUGCAGUAGUGCAAUUCGUGAGAAAAUUUCAUGAGAUUAGGUGGAAGUUCACUAAAGGCUAGCAUACCAAGAAUAAACAGAAAUAAAAUUACAGACAUACAGCCAGAUCCCCCUAUGUAAACAACAUGAAGUCAGAACAGCAUUCAGAAACAACAAAGCAAUAUGAUUGCAGUUAGUACACAACAAACCACCUAAAUAUCCAAUAGAGAGAAAAACAACAUUUACAACAUCCCCUGCAGAUGUGGAUUCCAAUACAUUUGACAAACAAAAACACCAACAAAUGUUAGAAUUCAGAAGCCUAAUAAACAUACAAGAUUCUGUAAUACUGAUUUAUCUGCAGUAACUGAUGAUGCCAGAGAAGAAGACUACAAUAAAUUGGAAUAGUACUGAAAUAAUAGGAUAUGAAUUACACACGAGGAAAAGAAAGAUAAAAGAAGCCUUCUGCAUUCACCUAACUGAUAACAUACUCAAUCAGCCUAGCAUAAAAGUCAGCAAAACUUGGUUACACUCCUCUUUUAAAACAUUACUCAAUCAGCCUAGCAUAGAAGUCAGCAAAACUUGGUUACACCCCUCUUUUAAAACAUUUAUAUAAUAAGGGGAUUCAAGUCCUAAUGUGGGAGACCUCGGUUGUGGGGAUACUCACCAGACUUACAUCAAGAAGACCCAGGAUUGAAUCCUAGCCACUACCAGUACAGAUUGUAUUCCUUCUCAGAACUCCCCUGACCACAGCAGUAGAUUAGCAGUUGAAACUUAGGAUAAAAACUAGUUCAUAAUUAGCAUAUUAAAAAAACAUGUUAGUAAUUAAUAAUUAUACUUAGGUGAUUGUAUAGGCUACUAACCAUGAUAAGGGUGUGCAACUUUUAGGCAAUCGCUUUAUGAGUGGGGAGGAGUUCCUUCACAACACAUUUUUGAAAGUUGUAAAUUAUAGUGGCAGUUUCAUGUAUGGUGAGAAAUGCUGUUUAAAGGUUUUUUUCACAUCCUCAUAUGGGUGUGCUGUUCUUCCCUUACAAAUGCUGUUCACUACAUUAGAAAUUGUUAUGUUAUAGCCUUUUCAUCUCUGCUCUUUCACUUUAUAUGGGCCACGUAUUCUUCCUGCCAUGAGCCUAUGUCAAAUCAUUCUUAUAAAGUAUAAUUAAUCCUCUGUAUUCUGUUGAACUGAAUUGCUUUACUUAGAUUUAUUUUAAUUAUUGAGAGAGUGGAUAUUUUCAAAAUACUUAAUGCUAAUUUCAUUCAAGCUUUGUAUGGUAUAUGAUAUCUUAAGUAUCAAGUCAAAGUCACUACUGGCCUCUAUGAUUUAAUGAUUA